GGGUGCGAUCAUACUAGCAUUAAUGCACCGGAUCCUAUCAGAACUCCGAAGUUAAACGUGCUUGGGCGAGAGUAGUACUAAGAUGGGUGACCUCUUGGGAAGUCCUCGUGUUGCACCUUCUC
rnacentral:rRNA from 1 species